rnacentral:misc_RNA from 1 species
GAUGAAGAACGUAGCGAAAUGCGAUAAGUAAUGUGAAUUGCAGAAUUCAGUGAAUCAUCGAAUCUUUGAACGCACCUUGCGCCCUUUGGCUAUUCCGAAGGGCAUGCCUGUUUGAGUAUCAUGAACACCUCAACUCUCAUGGUUUGCCAUGAUGAGCUUGGACUCUGGGGGUCUUGCUGGCCUAUGGUCAGCUCCUCUCAAAUAAAUCAGCUUGCCAGUGUUUGGUGGCAUCACAGGUGUGAUAACUAUCUACGCUUGUGGUUUUCCAUCAGGUAACCUUCAGUGAUGGAGGUUCGCUGGAGCUUAUAAAUGUCCCUCCUCAGCGAGGACAGCUUUUUGAACGUUUGAUCUCAAAUCAGGUAGGACUACCCGCUGAACUUAAGCAUAUCAAUAAGCGGAGGA